UACGAAGGGUGCAAGCGUUAAUCGGAAUUACUGGGCGUAAAGCGUGCGUAGGUGGUUUGUUAAGUCUGCUGUGAAAGCCCUGGGCUCAACCUGGGAAUGGCGGUGGAUACUGACAAGCUAGAGUGCGGUAGAGGAGGGUGGAAUUCCCGGUGUAGCGGUGAAAUACGUAGAGAUCGGGAGGAACAUCAGUGGCGAAGGCGGCCCUCUGGACCAGCACUGACGCUGAGGCACGAAAGCGUGGGGAGCAAACAGG
rnacentral:rRNA from 1 species